ensembl:lncRNA
CGGGCACCGAAUCUGGCGCUCAGUCCUAACGCCGUGGGCCUGGAGCGGCUCCAGGGGCUGCCCGCGAGCCGCGCACACGGUGCGUAUCUGGGGUAGCUCCGCUUGUUGGACUCCGGCCAGGCGCAGAGCGGAGUAGCGGAGCUCAGGCGCUGAUCCCGCUGCCCGCGGCCGUCGUUUUCCCGGUAUCUUUCUACGGCAGAAAGCACCGUGGGAUUUUUGCCCCCUGCAGGAGCCGGGUUAGCCACGUGCGGGAGCGGUGAACUACUCCCGUUGCUAACCGCACGUGCAUCCGCGCUGCUACAGGGCGCAGCCCGGAGCGUUUCACGUCUCGGUGGUGAGAAGUUGCCGGCACCGUGCAGCACCGGAGCUCCCAGGCAGCCCGUAGGCCACGCUGACCGGCUCUCUGUGCCCGGGCUGCCUGCCUUCGGGGGGAACGUCCUCCCUCUGCGUGCCGAGGGGGCUGGAAGGAGGGCAGCCCGUGAAGAGGAGCGGUAGCAGAAGGUGAGCGCUCGCAGCACGGCUGCUCUCGAGCUGCCGCUGCGUGCCCGGUGCUGCUGGUGACGUGCUGCACGGAGAGGCAGUUCACCCGUGUGACUGAGAGCACUGGAAAACAGUUACUUAGUAAAGGCUGCCUCUGCAUAGUUAAGAGACUUCCUGCAAGUACACGGCGCAGCUCUUCUCCCUGGCCUGGUCUGAUUCACUUAGGAGAGGCCGAAGGAACCGGUCUUGUUUUAAGAGACAUUUACACGAGGCCUGGAAUUUCACUUAACAAAAAUUUUUAUGUAAUAGAUCCAGUGGCCUAGUUUCACCUUCAUUAAGAAAAUAGGCGCUAAAUGUGCUCACCUGGAAAGCAACUGCCGAUUUCAACAUUAGGAUGUGAAAGCAGUGGUCUCGGUGCCGUGGCUGGCAGAGCAAAACGAAGGCCCGGUUCCCCCCCGUGCUGAAGUUCAGCAGCACGUCUGGGGACGCGGCAGCGAGGGCUGUCAUUGCUCGUGCAGCGCUGGCUUUUGUUGUGGUGUGCUAAUUGAGGGGAAACGCGAUGAAGAACUGCGGCAGGGCUUAAAGGAAACGCGUGUCAGAAUUGCGGAGGGGCUGCAGCGCUGGCUGGGUGCAGGGCUGUGUGGCAGCUGUAGGGCUGCCUGGGGGCGCACCGGGUUGGGGUGGCCGCUGCACAGGUACGGUCUGGGCGCCCUGCGCAGCUCGGGUGGCAGAUGGAGCUGUAGGUCUCCUUGGAGGUACCCGUACCGACUCUGCUUUAACAAAUACCGACACAAUUAGCUGAAGAGGCAGCAGUCUGACUGGCUUGGCACAGUCACGCCGCAGGCCGAGCCAGACGGGCGAGCAAUACAAGCUGUGAAUUUAUCGUUGACCCCUGCAGGACAGUGACCACCUUCGCUGUCGUCUUCGCCAUACAGAGAUGCGCUGUCAGUGAGGUAAGAAAGCAAUGCCCUUUUCUUCUGUCUAACAAGCAUGUGCUGUCUGCCGCGGGGUCUGGUCAGCACGGGCACCUGAAUGGAGUCCGUGCCGUUAUCUACCUGCAAAACGUCUGUACUUCCCUUGCCUGGCAGUAAAGGUCCUGGAGAUACUCAUCAUAGAAAUGCCACGAGCUCUGGUGACUCAGUUGGGUGACUGACAGGACAGUGGGUUCCAGAUGAGUGGUUUUAUGUUCACCUCAGGUCGGAGUAUAUGCAGUUACUAAAAGAUUGUAGCACGAAUGGAAAAGUUUACAGUCUCUGAUCUUUUGCUGGUUAUUACCAUGGGUAUAAUUGUAUAAAUCCUCCCGUGCUUUUGUGAACAUUUUUAGCAGUUCUUGUUGCUUGCAGCUUGUUUGAGUUUUCGGUGUCCCCAUUUCCUCUCAAGCACUGAACUUUGCCUGGCGUGAGGAUACUUCCCAGGGUAACUGGCCACUAGUGGUGUGCCCGAGUGUCUUUUACUCCAGUUUCAGGAAUGUUUUCAGUUCUUCUGACAUUUUUCCCCCGAGUUCUGGAACCAGACAGGAUGGAGUAGCACGCUCAGCUCCUUCUCCUCUUCCUCACUUCUCCUUCUUGUUUGGCUGGGGGGAAUACCUUGAAAGAACCAAGUCUCAGGGCUCAACAAUCGUACUGCCAAUAAAAAGAACAUACAUUUUUAUUGUAUUUCUUUAAUCUGAUUGUCAUUAAGCCAGCCUGUUUUUUUGGACCUGUUUCAUGAUUUUUGAGUGCUUGGGAUUGGCAAUGCUGCUAAUACUUUUUUUGGCAAAAAAAAAAAGCAAACCAAAAGAUAAAAGGUCAUAACAAAAUUGAUGUCUCUAAAUAAAAGAAAAUUAAAUGUAGCAGCUGCUUGCAGAAGUUGAAGGUGUUUUUUUCCCCUUUAUACAGCCAGAAAACUCCAUUGCUAUAGCAUUCUACACAUGAGGGGUUGACCAGAAAGCCUGUGCUGCAGAAUAAGUUUAUAAUACAUAGGGCACGUCAGAGAGGUGUGUGGCACGUAAUUUACAUUUUAUUAUGGCUGUGGGGUAGGGUGCCGUGCUGAAAAGGGAAGUUGUCUGUGCAAGCAGUUGCAUGUAAAGACAUGCCUCUUAGGGUUUACAAAUGAGCCAGAAUAGCGGGGGUGGACUGAUACCACUGUGCCCCCUCAGAGCAAUAGGAGUAUGUUGGGUGAACAGCCAGCCCAAGUGGCUGUGCACUGACAUAUUUCAUCUUUCACUUUUGGGACAGAACUGACUGGGUAGCUGCUAUGGGCUCUGGAGAUCAGAUAGAAGGGAGCUCUCUGUUCUGACAGGGACGUUUCCACAGAGCCUUUCAUUUUUUCGGAACCGGCACAGGUUUUAUGAAGCUGUAUUUAUUUGCGGGGACAAUUAGUGCAGGACAGCUUUCUGUCUCUUAACUAGGGGAAAUGGUUUAAAGCGUGUUGGUUGAACCCUGUGAAUAACCACUCGGAGUCACCUCGAAUAUUUUAGCAUCUGGCACUUCCUGCGAUGGCAUGAGAAAAAGUAUGUUACGUGUUGGAAACAGUCUGGAUUAAAGAAGAAAUAACCCAGUUAAGUCUGCUGCAGUUGUCUCGGUUACAGUGUGAGAGGAGAGCAGGACUGUGCUGCUUUUUUGCUGUAUCAGUGCAGUUUGAAAUGCUGUAUUGUCUUCUGGGCUUCAGAUCAGAUCUUUUUCAGCUCCUUUUCUUUCUCUUGGAUGUUCUGUCUCAGUCACUGAGCGUGGGUACCUCUGCUGGCCUUGUUAGUUAGUGCUUAUUUUCUCUAGGGAUCGAUCAAAAUCAGUCCUACUGUAUAAACGAGUAAAGUAGAAGUGACUGAGAUAGCAACUGCCUGCUUACAAGCGUUAUCUCUGGCGCCUGAUUUAACAGGAGGGAAGUCAAAAGUAGUAACACGUGAAACAAACAUGACCCAGAGCAGCGCAGUGAGCAGCCACAAGUAGGUUUCAUGAAUCGAGAUCGAGCACUGCGUGCUGAGACCCAGCAUCUUUUCCAGCCCUCACUUUUUUCUGGGGGGAGGGGGAGAAGUAUCAGCAGCCCUGCUCUGUUCUGCACAGACCCAGCUUAUUGCCACGGGGUCUGUCCGAGGGACGGGACAUCAGGCACGUUUAUUUCACGGGGCACCUCCACGAUCAGAGCUCAGAAGCUUUGCUUCAGCCCUGGUGUCCCCCCACGUGCGUUUGUACUCACACGAGGAGGCGUGUGGCUGCAGGGAGUGAAGCCGCUGCGGUGCGUACGCUUGAGGCGUGCCUGCCGCUCGGGUUCGAGCAGCUUUCCUGCAGCCUGCAGAGCUCGCUGCCUGCAUGAGGACGCUGGGCUUAGUGAAAAUAAAAUUACAUGUGUUGAGGUACGGCUUUUUAUUUUUCCUUUACCCCCUGAUUCCUGACUUUAGUUACUUUUAGCCCGAGCUAAAAACCGUCGAGUUAUUGUUAUUUGUUCAGAACUCGCUCUGCCUCCUUCCACGCAGGCAAAUGACUCAAUGCUUUCUUUUAAGCAGUUGUGUCGAGAGGGUUUUGCAUGAGGCACUGGUUGUUUGAACAACUAGAGGGUUCUUUUCAAUCUUUUCCACUGUUGAGUCACUUGAUAUCUAUUAAUCACGUUAUAGUACCGGGUUGAAUUUGCAGCCACAGCCUGUUUGUAAAUUUCUUUUUUUUAUUUUUGCUGAAUUUUCCAUCGGUAUAUCUGCACACUACCUGGUAGGGUUUAUUUUUCACAGGCCUAAGCUGUGCUUUAUACAGGCUUCUGGCUGCCGCUGUCUGUAAAUGAGCAACAGGCUGUUCUCUUAAAAUAUUAUGUACUGCAUGUAGAAAGAGGUGAUCUGUCUCAAUAUCAGUGUGUCCAAAGGCAAUUUUUUGAUUGCCAUAUCGGUGUUCCUUUAUCACAGCUGAUUUUAUUUCCUCCCUCUUACACUGUUUAUCAAGGCCUGCAAUGGCUGUAGGGCUAAAAGAAGGCAGCGGUGGAGACUGUGAGAGCAUUGACAGCACAAAUGAAAUGGAGGUGCGAACUAGGUAUAAUUGGAGAGUAAUUAGAAAUCAUUUUAAUUUUUUUUUAAUUGUUUGUUUUGUGCCUGAGUGAGUAACUCUUUGAUAAAUUAAAUGAAAAGAUGUGAAUGCAGUGUCAGAUGUUGGAGAUGAGGCCUGGUCGCUUCCCCAGCCCUACCCCGUCACCCCUGCGGUGCCCUGCCGUGGCUUUGCUCUGCUGUUUCCUCAGCAGAUGCUGCUGUAGCCCGAUGUCACAUUGACUGGAGGUUUUGUAACACCGUCUGAAGUAUAAACGGAGCUGGCUGUAGUGACUUGUCUAGAUUGAAGCACUGGGCUCUCAUCGGUAAUGUGGUAGAAGCCACUGCCUGAGGUUUGAUUCACCUUCCAUGAUAUGCUGUGGAGAUCUGUCCUGUGCUAGCGUUACUUUAGAGCGUGAUAUUUUGGCUGAUGGAGCAAACAUUAGAAGCAGAGCACGUGCUGAGGGUCAGAAUGCUGUGAUUGCCAUCCCUGAUCUGUAGUUCUAUAUAGGCCUCAGCAUCAUACGUGCCCUCCUUCUCUUACCCUUGGCAUGUUUGGUAGUCGCUUCUUUAGUUGUUGGUGAGUUAGCAGUGCUGGUUCUGUUUGGGACUAGCCGAAAACCUGAUUUAAGGGUUUACUGACUCACUCUUCAGUCUAUAAAAGGCAGAAGAGUUUAAGUGUUUCUCGUUUGUGUUGGAAUGUGGUCGCGAGCAUUACCACAUCUUUGUUUGUCAGGUACCCAUGCACCAAGGCCCUUCAGGUUUUGCAAACUGAACAUUUCUGUGAGACGAGCUGCUUGAAGAAAGUCAGGCUUUAGCGGGGAAGGCUAAGUGCAGAAAGCAGGCUUAAUCCUCCUGCGCCGCGCUCAGAAUUGGUGUGCCAGGGAACGGUUGCUCAUUGGUGCCGUCCUUGUCAGCAUCACGUGGAGCAGCUGAGCAGGGAGUGCCUUUUCCGGUUACUAUGAUAGUAAAUGCACUUAGCCUCUUCCUUAGCCCUUCAGCACGUCCCCUCCCUGGUAGCAGCCCGGCUUCAUGGCCGUCUGUCUCCAGGCAGUGUGACAGCGGGCGAGCCGCAGCGUUGGGAAAAGCAUUGUAUGCAAAGGGAGAAAAUCUUGCCGGCUUUAUUACAGCACAAAAAGUUGCAAAUUAAUUCUUCGUGUACUGCUAGUGGUUAAAAACCCAUUGCGCUAAUCAUGUGAAAUGCAUUUUUAUUUACAGAUUAGUGGGCUCUACUCUGACAUAUGACUAACAGGGAAGCCCCUCCCUUUAACAGUUGUAUGUCAUCUGCUUCAGAGAACUAAUUACUUGGCAAUUCCCAUUUGAUAAUUCCCUCUUUAUUUUCUGAUGAGUUACUUAACAGUGAUGAGCUUGUUGAGCAGAAUACCGUGCUUAAUCUCUGCUUGAGAAACUACAGUGCGGGCCUGGGGAUAUCAUUGUUUUCUGACUGCUGCUUAGCCUUGCCGUAGGAAUGCCGAAACCACACGAAGGCAUGUUAACAGCUCGCAGUUACCGGUAGGCUUAAUGGGAGCGGAGCACAGCGCUUCCCAGAAAAUAAAGGAAGGGUUUAGAUGGCUGUUGCGGUUGCGUUUUAAAAUCGUAUCGUCUGCAGGCAGGAUGUUAAAGGCAUCAUUUCUCCAAAAAAAUCAAAACAAAGCCUUAGCGCGAUUUAGGAAAUGCACGUUUGUGUCAGAGGUGUCUCCUGUGCAUCGUUAAUCCUCUCCACUGCAAUAAUAUAUUCGAAUGGAAAUGUAUUUUUCUUUAUAUCACCGUUUUCCUGUAAUACUCAUUGGACAGUUCAGUUGAUAAUGGUAAUUUUCUUAAUGUUUGAUACUUAAAUAAAAUAUCACGGUGCUUUCUCUGCUGUUACCUGUUUUUCUUUACCCCCCCGUCCCCCCCCACCCCCUUUUCACACUCUCUGACUCCAGUGGCCACAGCAACCCGUGUUUCUGGCUGGGGAAUGCAUUACAAGCCUCACGCUAAUUACUGCCUUGCAGUGCUUCCAGAGGGUACCUGAGUUCAGCAGCGCUUAGCUACAGCACCAGGCACGGGGAUUUGUGGGGUGAAGGGACAUCAGUCUGCUCACGGCUGUCCUGGGGAGGUCAAGGUGAGCCUCCCCCUCAGAUCGCGGCUCAGAUGGGUCCCUUUCAGACCCAUCGUCUCUGAAAUUCAACUGUGUCAAACCGUGCCAUUGAAUGUGUUUAACGUUUUAUCACUGACUUCAGUAGAGGAAGGUUUGUGGACCAACUGCAGUCACUUUGACUAUCUGGCAGCGUUGCCGUGUAGGUAGUGAUACCAGAAGAAUUGGAUUUUAACCAGUCAGGUGGUAUAAGCUGACAACGGCUCUUUUUUCUUGUGCUUGAACAAGAAGUGUAGUAUUUGGUGUAUGAGAUCACAUAGCAUUGCAUCAUACGGCGCGCUGAUUUAUUAGACGUUUGCAGCGGUAUCUCUUGGCCAGUUACUGGUAGCUCUCUCAGGGGUUUAUUUUAUCACUGACAAAAAUGCAUUUGUACAUAGUCGCACGUGUUUUUUGUAAAAUUAAUCAGAGGAACAGUAAUCUUAGGAAAUGUACAAUUUAGAGCAGAUUAAUCUACUUUAGCUGUGUUCAUGAAGUGCAUCAGCUAUAAGAUUUUUAGAAAGGAAUGUUAAUCGGGUUGAUCAAAGGCAGCUUGAAGUGCAGAAUUCAAAUGCUAACACAAUUACAUUCUAUCUGUUCGUAUAUUUGCUGCCACUUGGGUGAUUUUUUUCCUCAUUUUUAAGACAAAAAUAAGUUCCAUUUUACUCUGCGGUACAUUUUUUUCCUACGGAAUAUAUCAUGUUUUAAAGCCAAAGGCACAAACAUCAGGUGGAAUGUAAUUUUAACAAGUAAAGAAUGGAACAGUAAUGUAGACAAGUAAAACCAAAUAGUUUUCAUUGCACUUUUUUUUUUCCCUUAGAAUUUUUUAAUCCAGUUUAAUUUCCUCUAAUGACUCAAAGGAUCGCAGGUAUGGGCAUCACUGCAAACAGGAAUCCUUCAUGAGAGUCAGGAAAGAAGUGUGACCAUGAGCAGGACGUCCCGGCUUGACAGAUUCUUCUAAAAGCCACUGUAGCUGUUGAGGAGGGAGCUGCAUACUGCACCCUCGUGUCAGAUUCUUUCUAAAGAGGUGGGCAAGAGUUAGGAGAUGGUGAUUUGGACUGAUCUCCCCCUGCCUGCUCAGAGGCGAAAGGUUGUAGCUGUGGUCAUCCACCUUUGCAUGGUCCAAUCUGCUCUCUGAUCGCUUUCCUCUUCAGGCUUAGCAGCGCUGCCUUAAAGACCGAGCCUCUGCUUGGGCAGCAUUGCCUAUCACUUCAGGCUGCGCCUAAGUACCACAGAUUUGAUCACUGGUAUUUUCUUCCCUCAGCAAGGGAUGCAAAUUUCCUUUUGAUUAAAGUUGAACUGCGAAGUAAAAUAUUUUGCUGCAGAUGUACCAGUAGUCAUUGUUCUACCAAUACUAAAGCACUACAGUAUGGAUAUCAUGAACACCAUCUCUUACCACAAGACUUUAAUUUCAUACUAAUGUCUUAAGGUUUGAGCAUCCAGUUUUAACGAACAAACUCCCAAACCAUGUCAUUAAUAGGUGUGGAGUUUGCUCAGAACUGCAAUUGUUUGCUGGUGUCAAAAACAAAAAGGAAGUCAGACGGUGCCACCCCCUCUUGCUUUAUUACAGAUGAGGGAUUAAUCCAUCCUGGACUUUGUGUUUCUCUCCUUUGUGUUCUGCCUGCCUGCAUCCUCACCAGCUGCUCCGGCUGUAUUACCAGGGCUCCUCUGUGAGCGUUACUUCUCCAGGGCUGGUGGAAAGGCCAAAGACAAAUAAGUGGGCAGGCACUUUUCCUUUGCAUCUUCUGGUUUGCAGAACUGAGAAGAUGCUUUAACUUUUCCCUUAGGUCUCCUCUGCCUCCUCUUAGAAUCAGGGAUGAGUUUCAAGUUUCCUACUGUCAGUCUUAGUAAAUCUUCUUGGAUGUUCCCUGCGAUUUGGCCUGAUGUUUUUGUUGUUGAUCAUACAGUCCUAUUUACUUUUUGAACUUGACAGUCGAUUAAGGUGUAGGGUGAUAGCUGACACUGCAGUAUAGUCUGUCUAAUGUGCUUUGAGGUCUGUGCUGAGGGGGAAGGAGGAGGAAUGGUGGAUGUCACGGGUCACUAACCUGUAGUUUAAAACUGCACUGUGUCUUUUUUCAGGGCACUGCACGACUAUGUUAUGGAUUGACUUAAAAUAUAGGUGACUCUUACGACCCUGGCAGGACUGGAGAAAGAAUCAGAAUCUGUGUUUUGUUCUAUGUUUGUACGAGCUGGGGGAAUAACUCAGCCAUGGUGCGUGGUCUUCCUCUAUGAGACUGCCACAAACUGACAUGGGGACAGCCUGGGAUUUGUUGGUCACCACGAGCUUAUUUUGAUUGCAGCUCUAAGGCAAAUUCAGGAGAAAUAGUGUGCACUGACUGAGUGAAAUAAAGUUGUGAUAAUAAACUUCCUGAGUGACAUUUGUUGUAUGACAUUACUAUCCAAAUGUUGACAUCUGUUCAGAAUGCAGCCAGAAUGGGCCCUAAGUAGGAUGGAACAGGAGGUACCUAGCAAGCAUCUGAAAGGCAUUAAAUAGCAACCGAGAAAGACAUCGGCUACCUAAGGACUUGAACUUGUUGGACGUCAUGCUGCUUGAAAGGAAUGGAAGAAAUGCAAACUAAGACAUGCUUCUGCUACGUUAGCAGCAGCACUGUGCAGUCUGUUUGUCUGAGCUGUCAGCGGGCUGGCUGCAGCACUUGGUGCUGUUUGUGCAGCUCUUGCCC